rnacentral:tRNA from 1 species
GGCUCCAUAGUGUAGUGGUUAGCACAUCUGCUUUACACGCAGAAGAUCCUGGGUUCA